CUUCCUCGCCGCCCCCUCACUCCCUCCUUCCCCAGCGUGGACACUAGCGGGUUGAGGGCCGGCUGGACCGCCCGGUAUCCUGUUGUUGACUGGGGCACAAGGUCGGACUUACACACCUUUCCACCUGUGAGACCCGUCGGUUUUGCAUUUGGCCUGUCUGCCAUCAUUCCCUGGCCCUGUGUGGAUUCCAAGUCCUGUGACGCCUUGCUGUUAGAACGCUCCCUCAAGGUGUAAAUGGUAAAGGACUCAG